GCUCAUUAAAUCAGUUAUCGUCUAUUUGAUAGUACCUUACUACUUGGAUAACCGUGGUAAUUCUAGAGCUAAUACAUGCUGCAAAGCCCGACUUCGGAAGGGUUGUAUUUAUUAGAUUAAAAACCAAUGCCCUCCGGGGCUCACUGGUGAUUCAUGAUAACUUCUCGAAUCGCACGGCCUUGCGCCGGCGAUGGUUCAUUCAAAUUUCUGCCCUAUCAACUUUCGACGGCUGGGUCUUGGCCAGCCGUGGUGACAACGGGUAACGGAGGGUUAGGGCUCGACCCCGGAGAAGGAGCCUGAGAAACGGCUACUACAUCCAAGGAAGGCAGCAGGCGCGCAAAUUACCCAAUCCCGACACGGGGAGGUAGUGACAAUAAAUACUGAUACAGGGCUCUUUUGGGUCUUGUAAUUGGAAUGAGUACAAUUUAAUUCCCUUAACGAGGAACAAUUGGAGGGCAAGUCUGGUGCCAGCAGCCGCGGUAAUUCCAGCUCCAAUAGCGUAUAUUAAAGUUGUUGCAGUUAAAAAGCUCGUAGUUGAACCUUGGGCCUGGCUGGCCGGUCCGCCUCACCGCGUGCACUGGUCCGGCCGGGCCUUUCCCUCUGGGGAGCCGCAUGCCCUUCACUGGGCGUGCCGGGGAACCAGGACGUUUACUUUGAAAAAAUUAGAGUGUUCAAAGCAGGCUUAUGCUCGGAUACAUUAGCAUGGAAUAAUAGAAUAGGACGCGUGGUUCUAUUUUGUUGGUUUCUAGGACCGCCGUAAUGAUUAAUAGGGACAGUCGGGGGCAUCAGUAUUCAGCUGUCAGAGGUGAAAUUCUUGGAUUUGCUGAAGACUAACUACUGCGAAAGCAUUUGCCAAGGAUGUUUUCAUUAAUCAGGAACGAAAGUUAGGGGAUCGAAGACGAUCAGAUACCGUCGUAGUCUUAACCAUAAACUAUGCCGACUAGGGAUCGGACGGU
rnacentral:rRNA from 1 species